rnacentral:rRNA from 1 species
UACGGAGGGUGCAAGCGUUGCUCGGAAUCAUUGGGCGUAAAGCGAGCGUAGGCGGUCUCGUAAGUCGGAUGUGAAAGCCCUCGGCUCAACCGAGGAAGUGCACCCGAAACUGCGAGACUUGAGUGUCGGAGAGGGUGACGGAAUUCCCGGUGUAGAGGUGAAAUUCGUAGAUAUCGGGAGGAACAUCAGUGGCGAAGGCGGUCACCUGGACGAUAACUGACGCUGAGGCUCGAAAGCGUGGGGAGCAAACAGG